CAUCGUAGAGCUGGUCGACCUGCUCCAGGUAUUUCGACUCCAGUAGUUGCAGCUGGCACCACUGGGCCAUCUGAUCAAGGAGGAGUAACACUCUCAUGAGUCCUGCUCCCAGAGAUCAACCAAGUGCUAUUCACCAAGCAUGGGCUGAUUCACGGACCUGUGAGGAGAACCAUCCUACUGCAGUUUGAACUCGCCCUGCUGUCUCUAUUUAGACAUUGGGACCACAUAUGCCUGUUGUCUUUUCUUUGUGGAUUUUGUCUUGGACAGUCUAGGGCAUUUUAGAGUUGAAGUACACCCACCACAGAUACAUGUGCUUGUUUGAGCAUCUUUAUUCAUUGUCGUCUCUCACUUUUGUCUCCUUUGAUCUAUUCACCAAGUGCUGCCAUUUGAACUCGCCCUGCCGUCAGUCACUAUUUAGACAUUGAGACCACAUGUGUAUUUGCCUGUUGUCUUUUCUUUGUGGGUUGUCUUACACAGUCCAAGUACAUUUUGGAGUUGAAGAACACCGACGACAGAUGCAGCUGUCGCCCAAUUUUUCAGUUUUUGAUUUGUUAAAGUUUGAAAUAUCCAAUAAAUGUCGUUCCACUUCA